UUGCUCAUACAACCAGUACUAUGCCAGACUGACUGAUCAGAGAAAGGUAGAAAAAAAACGAAAUGUAAAAAAAAAAAAAUCAUGUAUAAAAAGUCACAACUGGGCAAUAUAAAAUUGACAUGAGCAAUAAUCACUUGGUCCUAAACAAUGGUGUAUGACCAGCUUCUGCGUGUAGGUGCGCCCUAUGGAUGUGAGGUCAUACGGGGGGGAGGACUGAUGGGAAUGUAUACAUUCCAGCAUGGCUGUGUAAAUAACUGACAACCUCAUUUUGGGUGCAUUUCAUCACUCCAUUGUUCUGGGUGGACAUAUACAGCCAGGGUUCCAGUUCUUUUCUCACAAGCUAUUGGCACAUGUAUUGUAUAGACUGUGUCCAAAACAAUCCGAUGUGCACUGGCAGCACCGUGAGAGGUGUGUAUACCAAGAACAGCUGAUGAAUGGUGAACCUGUUCUAGUGACUCAGGAUUGGAGUCACCCAUUUGGGAGGGGGGUUUCAGCGGGCAUUCCCAGUCUGGUGCCAGCUCACAGUGUGAGGUGUGCAUUGUCCUUAUUACAUGGGCAAGUACAGUGCUGUAGGGAGCAGUUACUCAUUGCAGGGUGUGUGCGCUGUGUUGCCUGCCUGUACACGUCCUGCUUGUGAGGAGCUGACUGACUGUUUUGGUUACGGUCUGUUAGCAUGUGUUGUCGUCUGUCCACCCUUCCCUGUAUGUGUUACUUUGGAAACAAAAAUGCAAAAGACAAUCCCUGUGAAAAAACAACUUUAGAGUUUUUCAAAAAAUGUUUUAACUUUUGCAUGCUGUAUUCUGUUUCCGGAGCCAUGGCUGUAGAGAAAUG